rnacentral:rRNA from 1 species
UACGUAGGGUGCGAGCGUUGUCCGGAAUUACUGGGCGUAAAGAGCUCGUAGGUGGUUUGUCGCGUUGUCCGUGAAAACUCACAGCUUAACUGUGGGCGUGCGGGCGAUACGGGCAGUCUGGAGUACUGCAGGGGAGACUGGAAUUCCUGGUGUAGCGGUGGAAUGCGCAGAUAUCAGGAGGAACACCGGUGGCGAAGGCGGGUCUCUGGGCAGUAACUGACGCUGAGGAGCGAAAGCGUGGGGAGCGAACAGG